rnacentral:misc_RNA from 1 species
ACUGAAUUUUCCUUGUUUCAACUAUUUUCUUUCAGGACGCUGACAGAAACAAAUUGCAAAUGCUCCCCAACUGUAAUUUUUCAGUCCGUUUCUCUUCAAAACUGAAAAUUUGAGAGUAUAGCAAGUGCCAAAAUUCUAUCUGCAACUCUGCAUAUAUUCACCAUGGCCACAACUGAAACCGAAACCAAAACCAUGAUCUGUUUUCUCCUGCUGUUGCUUCUCUCUCCCAUCUCUACUACAGCUUCCACUGCAGCUUACCCCACCGUCCCUGGAACCGCUGACACCUCUGCGUCCGCUUCUCUAAACGACAACUUAACACCAAUCCGCCGAGAAUUAUAUGGCGAUGGAAGAAUCUUCGACAUUAGCCACAGAUACACAAGCAAUUUGCCGGCUUAUAGGUCCGAUAAUGGGCUGGGACAAUUCCUUCAGCUCGCCGCCAGCAUGAAGAAUGGGUCCUUCGCAAACAUCUCGGAGAUGAAGUUCUCCGUCCACACCGGCACACACGUCGAUGCUCCGGGACACUUUUUUGAUCACUACUUCGAUGCUGGGUUCGAUGUCGACACUCUAGACCUUGAAGUGCUUAAUGGUAAUAAAUAAUAAACAACUAUAGCGACUGCUUUGUGAAUGAAUAUGCUAAUCACUCCAACUUUUUAAAUUAAUUUUCAAUGAGGUUUACCAAAUAUUAAUUUUUUGAGAAAAAUUUAAAAUACCUUAAUACUAUUACAAUAUGGGAUAUAUAUUUUUUUAAUUUAUUUGAAUAGGUCCUGGGCUACUGAUUGAUGUGCCAAGAGAUUCAAACAUAACUGGUAUGCAUUAUUCCCUUAUUGUGUUGUUCUAGAUAAUUUAACAUGAACAAAUAAAAGGAAAAUUGAAAUGAUUUUAAUUAAUAUGAAUGGAAACCCGAUACUGUAAUGUGUUCAGCUGAAGUUAUGAAGUCCUUAAAUAUUCCCAAGGGAGUAACUCGAGUGCUUUUCAGAACACUCAACACCGACAGGUAAAUUUCAGAACAUUUCUUCUAUCAUUUUUUUUACUCCCUCUGAUUUCUUAUUUAGAGAGAGAAUGCUACUGCUGAAUUUCGGCCUUAUUUAUCUUGACAACAUUGAUGAAUUGCAGGAGGCUUAUGUUCAAAAGUAAGUUUGACGCAAGCUUUGUGGGAUUCACAGAGGAUGGUGCAAAAUGGUUGGUACAGAACACUGACAUCAAGCUUGUUGGCAUUGAUUAUUUAUCUGUUGGUGCUUGGAGUGAGAUGGUUUCAACUCAUCUUGUCUUUCUGGAAAGCAAGGGAAGGCAUUAAUCAAAAUUUCAAGCGUUUUAAUUUUGAUUCAACUGCUGAAUGUCCAUGAAAAUUCAGGUUUUUUUAAGUGUCUUAGAAUAUCAACUUCCACUUGUAGCUUGAGAUAAGAAAAUGGACUGGGGGAGAAUUGCCUAUGUCUUACAAGGAACACAAUUACUCAUAUACCUAAACGAGUUGAUGCUUAACACUCUCUUUCACGCUCAGGGCUAAUACUUAGAGCUAGUUAGGGCACGAAAUACUUAUGGAAGACCCAGCACGGGAGACUCUAAUAUAAUGAUAAAUAAAUGGAUUGACCCAUUUUAAGAAAAUGGCAUUAAAGCUCUGUCAUGCAUGUGAGGGAGUGUGUUAGUAUCCACAUUGAUUUGGGAUAAGAGUAAGGUGUCUCUUAUAAAAUCUUGGGCAUUCUCCCCUUUGAGUUAGCUUUUGGAACGAGUUAUGUCUAGUCUAUUUUCUUAUGCAGAGAGCUAAGUGGGCACUUUGAGUUGUGUAGUUGAACAGUAGAAACUCUGUUUCUCUCCGGUCAAAGGAUUAAACAUUUGUUAAAUUCUCAGAUUAUGGUUUUCUCUACCCCAUAUUAGGAAUCUUGCAGUUUUGAUUUCCAUGGCUAGGGAUAUUGAAGGAAAGAAAUUAUUGAGAGUCAUACUAAAACAGUGCUAAUGUGAUUCAGGAAAUCAUAAUCGCAGAAGCCCUAAAACUUGAUGGUAUCGAAGCAGGAAUAUAUUAUGUGAAUUGCUUACCUUUGAGGUUGGUUGGUGCUGAGGGAUCUCCAGCAAGAUGCAUUCUUAUCAAAUGAUGAGUGCUGUGUUCCUGUAAUUAUCUCAAGCAUUUUUGUUCCAUGCAGUGAAGACUUAGACCUAAUGCUACUAGACAUGUUCACAUUUUGUGGUUCUGAUUCAUUCAUGUUCAUCUUGUUUUAACUGUUUCUUCCAUGGGUAUCAGAUUCAGCUUGAAGCUUGAAUCGCAUGAGGGAUUGUGUUAUAAGUAACUAAUUUAAUUAGAGAGUGUUCGUCC